UUCACAACAAAAAAAUUGCCGGGAAAUCUUCUCCGUGAAACCAUAUCAAGCAGCCAAUGGACUUUUUAUUUCAUUUGAGUAAAUAGUGCGUUUGUCUUGAGACUUGUGUAGAACCACAGUGUGUCUCAACGUGGGUUUAACAUGGACGAAUAUGACGAACUGUUCGAGAUCCAGGAUGAGUUCGAGGACCAGUUCGCAGACGAGCUGGAGGUUCUGGCUCAGAUGGACUGCCCCAACACACUUAAACUUUAUUUCUCAUUAACUCGUUUUAGCUUCUUUGUGCACAUCCUCAGCAGUUAACAAUCAAUACACAACUGAGCAGCUGUUCUUCUUAGGUGGACUUUGAGCUGGAGUCUCUGAUGGAGAGGAAGGAGGAGGAGCGGGAGGAGCUGAUGGACUGGUGGAAGAUGAUGUCAGAGACACUGAACUUCUGAAGCGCUCGUCUGCUUCGCGAUUGGACCGUUCACACGUCGAGUGGUGACCGGGUUUCAGCCUUUCUCAGCUUGGCCAUGUCUCUGAGCACUGAGCACCUUGUACUUUUGGCCACUCCAGGUUGGUUCCAGUUCUGGAAUAUGACAGCACUGGAGGAUAAUGGGUUACUGGUAGCUUGACGUUUAAUUCUUCUCAAAUCUUUGGCAGUUAAUUUGUGUCUUUUUUUCUCAACACAUUUCGUGUGACCCUGUUGACUAUUUGCAACAAACAAUUGAUGGUUCUGUGAUCACGCCCCGAUAUCUUAACAAUUUCAAGAGUGCUGCAUCCCUCUGAAAGACUUUAGCGUUUUGCCUGAGGAAAAGAAGCUGCCUAAUAAUUAUGCACACCUUGAUAUAGGGUGUUGAUCUCCUUAGGCCACACACUCCCUCAUUUCACAAAUACACACCACCUCAUAUACUUAAAUCCAAUAGGCCUUCAAGUUUAUACAGCUUGGAGUUGGAAAAUAUUUAUACAAAUUAUAAAAUAGU